rnacentral:rRNA from 1 species
CUUUUAAUUGGGGGCUGGCAUGAAAGGUUUUAUGGAAAAUAACUGUUUUAAAACAAAGAAUUGAAUUUAAGUUUUGCAUAAAAACUUGCAAAUGUUCUUAAGGGACGAGAAGACCCUGUGGAUUUUUAUUUGUUAAGGAGUAAAUUUUAUAAUAUUUUAUUUUUUAUUCAAAUUUGGUUGGGACGAUAGUAAAAUUAACUUUAUUAAAAAAAAUAAUAUAGGUCCUUUUUAAGGAAAAAAGAAUAAAUUACCCCAGGGAUAACAGCGUAAUACUUUUGGACAGGACAAAUGGAUAAAAGUGUUUGCGACCUCGAUGUUGAAUUAAAAUGUCUUUAUUAAGUAUAAAUAAUAAUAGUAGGUCUGUUCAACUUU